GUUAUAGGUUAAACAGCCUAGCCAUAGUUACCUUACCUAUCGAAAGAUAGAGUAAUCCAAAUCUAGCCAACAAGAGACCAAAUGCUAGAAACCCGAAACAGGCGUAAGUGCUGUGGGUUAAGAUAGAGUCCUAUUGUGAAAUGAUCCAGAG
rnacentral:autocatalytically_spliced_intron from 1 species